UGAUCAUACAUGGGGCAACAAUGAAGAGUUUUCAAAGUGACAGCAAGCAUAAAAAAGAGUAGAAUAGGUUUCCUUUGGGCGUGUAUUUGCCUUUUGAUUUCUUUCUCUUAGUUCUUGUGAAUAAUUGCUUAUAAACUCUUCUUUCUCUUUAAGAGAAAGCAAUGUGGGACUAUCCAUGGCUUGAUCUUAAAAAGAAGAGAAGAGAAAGUGAGCAUACUAGGCGUGUAGGAGUUAGUAGCAUAGCUAGUUUUCAUAUUUUGAACUAUAGGAGAACUAGUUGCCUUAUAAACCCUUUGGAGUGGAGAGAAUUGAGCAAUGUGGGACUCAAAAGUCCCUAGAAGACCUGCAGCAGCUGCUGGACGGACUACACCCUCAAAAGUCCCACAUCUCCUAGAUCUUGCAUCUUAGCUCACUCCAAAGGUUAUAUAAGAAGGCUUAGGGGUCUCCUUUUUGGUACACCUUACCUUGAUUCAAUGAAUUUGAGUUGAUUUGCACUUUUGCAAUCUUCUUUGAGAUAGAAUUCUGUCUCUAAAGUCCCAAAUUUGGGCAGACCUUAUCUUGUUCAAGCAAGUGGCGGUCCUCUUCUUGAUGCUUAUCUUGGAAGCUUGUUCAAGUGGCGCAUCUUCAAUUCCUAAGUUUCCUUUUCUUUAAUCUCUUCCAUUUUUAAUUUCUUUCCCAUUCUCUUAAAUGUCAUUUAGUAUAUUCUCUCUAGGUAUGCACUUCCCCAUCAUGUGGUAUCAUGAGCCUUAGGUUUUUGAUCUCUUAGGAAUUGCAUGCUAGAGUAGAAUAGCUUAGAUAUGUUCAUUUUCGCUGAGCCAUUUUCUGUCUCGCCCAGCCUCUGCGUGAAAAUACAGUGAACUUGUAUGAUUUAGUUUAGCUUCAUUUCUUGUCCGUUUUCCAUGAAAUUUUUUUUCCUAGUUUCGUCUGGAUGUCUAGUUUCCUGAACAUAUUUUACUUUUCUCAAAUUCGUUCUGUACUGUUCCCAGUAAAUUGUUUUCUCCACUGUGUUCAUCCAGUUUUCUGCUGUUGAAUUAAUACUCCACUGUUUUGCUUUGUUGUUGGCUGUUUGGACAUUUUGGUGGCUGGAAUUGCUCCCUGGACGUUGCUACACCCUCUCAAUACUCUUAAGCAAGGAAUCAACACUUCAAAUCAAUGCUUUGAGGGACUAAACCGUGGCUGUCCAGAGCCUUGUGCAAGUAGACUUUUCAUCAAACAGCAACAAUGCUAUUGGAGGUCUUCAACAAGUUCCAGCCAUGCUUCAUCUCAUG
rnacentral:sRNA from 1 species